rnacentral:rRNA from 1 species
UACGGAGGGUGCAAACGUUGCUCGGAAUCAUUGGGCGUAAAGCGCACGUAGGCGGCCUAUCAAGUCGGGUGUGAAAGCCCUGGGCUCAACCCAGGAAGUGCAUCCGAAACUGACAGGCUUGAAUGCCGGAGGGGCCCAGAGAAUUCCCGGUGUAGAGGUGAAAUUCGUAGAUAUCGGGAGGAAUACCAGUGGCGAAGGCGCUGGGCUGGACGGCGAUUGACGCUGAGGUGCGAAAGCGUGGGGAGCAAACAGG